ACGUGUGGGUAGCAGUCUCCCGUGAGAUGAUACCUAAUUUUUCUGGUUCUCCUCCUCCUGUGUUCUCACCUCCAUGUGGCAACAUAGAUUUUGUGCUGUGUGAAUGUGGCCUUGCAAAUUGUGUGACAGUUCGUUAUCUACCAGGAGACCUUGUACCAGAAGGUGAGCUAGCUUGGCAGGUGAUACUAGACCUGAAGGAAAUCGUAGAGUUAGUUGUGGCACCUGUUCACACCCAAGAGACAAUCGCCUACCUUGAUGUGAAAGUGUCUGAGCACAGACAGACUACGUGAGCUUAUUCCAGGUGAGACACUGAAACCUAAACACCACUACCUUGAGCACUAUCCACACUUGAUCAUGUGCUUUGGGCCUCUUGUGGGUGUAUGGACGAUAAGAUCUGAGGCAAAACAUAGUUUUUUUAAACAAGUUGCCCGACACACCAAUAAUUUCAGGAAUAUUGCACUCACUCUGGCAACCAAACACCAGCAAUUAAUCACUUAUCACUUGCACUCAUUUAGUCCCAGUACUUCAAAUCUGGAAGUGACAAAUGUGUCCACAGUCCCUAUUGAUGUUCUGAAUGAGGAGGUUGUAGUGGCUCUUAGACAGACGUAUCCAGAGGUUAGCCAAGUUAAUCUCACAAAGAAUGUCACAACUAGGGGGGUCAACUACAGAAAUGGAAUGAUGGUUGUAUAUGAUUCAACAGCUGGAAUGCCUGAAUUUGCAGAGAUUCUACAAAUGUGUAUAGUGAGAGAUGAGUUGAGCUUCAUAGUUCGUUUAUAUUUUGCUUGGUAUCAGGAUCAUUUCAGGGCCUUUCAGUUGACUUUGUUACCAGAUAGAAAGGUUGUCCUUGUUCAGUUUGAGGAGCUAAGAGAUUGCUACCCACUUGUGGCCUACACAGUCAGAUCCAGACAUAUGGUGACCCUGAAGAGACACAUUGUCAUCAAAGAUUAGCAAAGCAGGAUGGCAGGACAAGUAACUUUCAGAGUCCUUUUUGGAGGUGACGAUGAUGCAAGAAAACUCACCAUUAAAUCUGGAAUACCAAACACUGUUUGAGGAAUUCGCUCUUCAAAUAAAGACUUUCUUCCAAGUGACUGAGCCAUUCAGACUUCAGUACAGAGACAGAGAAAUGGAUGAUCA